CGAGUAACACGUAUCCAACCUGCCGUCUACUCUUGGACAGCCUUCUGAAAGGAAGAUUAAUACAAGAUGGCAUCAUGAGUCCGCAUGUUCACAUGAUUAAAGGUAUUCCGGUAGACGAUGGGGAUGCGUUCCAUUAGAUAGUAGGCGGGGUAACGGCCCACCUAGUCUUCGAUGGAUAGGGGUUCUGAGAGGAAGGUCCCCCACAUUGGAACUGAGACACGGUCCAA
rnacentral:rRNA from 1 species